UUCCUCUUCAUCCUAGUAAUAUACCUGGACCAGAAGUAAACAACGAACUUCAGGUACAGUGGUGUAUAUUUUAAACCUUCCUCUUCAUCCUAGUAAUAUACCUGGACCAGAAGUAAACAACGAACUUCAGGUACAGAGUUAUAUAUUUUAAACCUUCCUCUUCAUCCUAGUAAUAUACCUGGACCAGAAGUAAGCAACGAACUUCAGAUAUUUUGAGAUGGAUCGAAGCUUGGCUUUCAAACAGGGGGCAAAGAGUAGUUUUGAAUGGCCAAUAUUCAGAAUGGAAACCUGUCUUAAGUGGUGUUCCCCAGGGAUCGGUGCUUGGUCCGAUCCUUUUUAUCAUCUAUAUUAAUGACAUUGACUUUCUUUGUGCACAUAUUUCCGUGUUAAAAAAAUUUGCUGAUGAUACAAAACUUGCCCAAAAAAUGUUAAACGAAAGUGACAAAAAUAUAUUACAAAACUGUCUUAAUCAACUUUGUGACUGGGCUGAAACUUGGGGUAUGAUGUUCAAUGUUGAUAAAUGUAAAGUUAUGCACAUUGGAAAUAGAAACCCCUGCUAUACAUACACCAUGAACAAUCAAACCCUGUCAGAGAUCGACGAGGAAAAAGAUAUCGGAGUUACUAUGCAUGCAAACUUGAAACCUUCAGUGCACU